rnacentral:lncRNA from 1 species
CUUUCUGCCAAGACAAUUAUCACGUGUAGCAUCGAAGCAUUAAUCAUGGAGUCAUUUAAAAGUCCAAGUGCCAAAUAAGAAUAAAAGUCUCAUGCAGGAAACUGUCACAUGUCAGAGCACUGGAAGCAAACUACUUCCACGUGUCUGUUUCCAGUACUGUAUUCCAUGGAGUGGAAAGGUGGCACGGCAUUGGCAGGCGGGACCCUUGAGAGUGUUAUAAUGACCAGGUGGCAGAGGCGGCUCAGGCUGCUGGACGUGGGGUACUCAAGGUGACUGUGCCUUGAGUGGGAGCACAUUGGACUACAUUACUCAGGACCAGGCUACAUCAGGUAAAUAUUGUUUUCUCAAAACAAAGCCAAACAUGUCACAUGUCAAGUUCUGCUCUUCCCUUCUGCUCAGUGUUUUUUUGUUUUCUUUGAGGCUGGCUCUUGCUCUGUCGCCAGGUUAGACCAGAGUGCCGUGGUGCCACAUAGCGCACUAUAACCUCAAAAUCCUGGGCCCUAGCAAUCCUCUUGCCUCAGUCUCCCAGGCUGCUAGGAAUACAGGCAUGCAGCACUAUGUCAGGCUGUUUUUCAAAACAAUUUUUGUAAAAAUUACAAGACUUUUUUUUUUUUUGCUAUGUUGGCCAGGUUGACCUCAAACUCCUGGCCUCAAGUGUUCCUCCUGCCUUGGCUUCCCAAAAUGCUGAGAUUAUAGGCAUAAGCCAUGGUGCCCAGCUAUGUCCAGAUUAAACUCACUUAAACUCCAAACAGUUCUUACUUAUCAAGCACCACGUGUACAUGAUAUUGGACUUGGCCCCACCAAUAACGCGUCAAACCAAAUAAGCAAGACCACCCUUCUAGAGAGUCUUAGUCUAAGGAGGUUUUGACAUGAACAGAUGGAAAACUGUAGAUGCUACUCCCGGAAAUUUAGAUAAUUCCUGCUGAACACAAAACAAUCUCAUCUUAAUAUCCUGAAGCAAACUUGGUGCUCAACACUGCCAAUAUAGCACGUAAUACCUAAGUUGCCACCUGUCAGAUAGUUCUUAAAUGCUCAAAGGAUCUGUAGAAACAGAUUCUUUUAUAAAGGAUUUGUUUUAGAAACCUUAUAUAAAAAAUUCAUAUAUCAUUCUGUAAAUCCUCAGUCUGGUGCCAUAUACAUCAGUGACCAUUACUAAAAUAAAAGUUA